GCGGUGUAGGUGGAAGCGGCGGUGGAGGAGGAGGAGGUAUCCAACACUGUUUUUAUAUAUAUAUAUAUAUAUAUAUAUAUAUAUAUAUAUAUAUUUCAAAUUAAGGUAGCCACCAAAAUAUUGGGACAUAUAAAAAAAAGACAACUCUGUUCCGCAGAGUAGCUGUUGACAUUAUAGUUGCACAGGCACUUUGUUGACUCUAGAGAACCUCGGGCCAAUCGCACAUCUCCGUGACGGCGACUUUGCAUUCGAAUGUCAUCCAUAUCAACUUUCGAUGCCAGUUUCUGCGCCUACCAUGGUGACCACGGGUAAUGGAGAAUCAGGGUUCCAUUCCGUACAGGGACCGUGAGAAACGGCUACCACAUGCAAGGAAGGCAGCAGGCG